AACCGAACGAUAGCUCUCACGAUGUACAACGGCGAAUGAUUAAAAAAAGGCUACUUCGGUGAUGAAAAUGUUGUGUGUAAUGUGUACAAUAAACAGCCUAAAAAUUAUAAAUGGUGGUAGAAUCGACUUCGCACGCCUGAAAGCCGUUUAGGCUGUUGUGCAACCGUGUUGAGCCGGCGAUAGUUAGAAAGAGGGAAGAAAGAAUGCCCGCAAUCAAACUAAACGAUGUUUGAUCAUGGAAAACAAGUUAAAAAGCAUACAAAGCUCGCUCGCCGUUGGACGCUUGGACAAUUACUUUUACAAUCAUUCGGUGAUCAGUUUGCGAAACGUCUUGCCGCACGCCUGGUACAGGCCCUUCUUGUCCGCGUCGGUAUCGAUCGUGGACUGAUCGUUCGGCAGCGUCAGCAUCAUCACCUUCAUCUGCGGGUAGUUGUGGUACGGCACAGUUCCGGUCGCCAUCUCGAUCGCGGUAAUGCCGAACGACUAGAAGCCGUAUCCGUGGUCCCGCUCCAUCUCCUCCGGCGCCAUCCAGCACGACGUGCCGAUAAACGUGUGGUACACCUUCUGCCGCGACAUGUCUCCAUCGGUGGCGAGCCACGCGCUCAUCCGCUAUAUUUAAGGAGCCGUCGUCGCCGGGCAGUAUGAUGGCCACCUUGAUGUCCACGUAAUGAGCAAUGCGAAAUGUGCACUCAAUUGGCAAGCGCACAGCAAGAUCCAGCAAACGUUACCGACAGUCUUUGUCGCCGUGAAAAUGCUUCUAAUGCACGGGUAUUUUAUAUUGCAUCGGUACGAUUAUCGUGUUCAAAGGCUUUUUCGAGAAAUGCCAAUACAUAAAUCGGUUAGUUCGUUUAUAUCGGUUUCUCAAACCCCUGCAAGCAAUGGUCAAUCAUUUCAGUCUUAAACUUUUGACGAACGAAUGCCUGGUCGCUAGCUGCAGCUUCCCAUCGAUGUAGGCACACGAUCUUCGAGAUUUUACUUCACCUGAUCUAGCCAUCGCACUCGCUGUGCUUCCUCGCUUCUAGUACCGAACUGAGAGCCGCUCGAACACCUAGCUGCUGGGGCACGAGGCUGCCUUCUUCACAACAUGCUCCAGCCAUCGCAAACAGCCAUGUCCGGUGCGCCAUAUGGCUUCAGUAAGCUCGUGGAUAAUCAUUCGCAUCCACACCCCAUGCUCGAAUUCACCGCCAAAGAUGAUCCGGAGGAUGCGUCGGCCAUCGUGUUUCGCCGCUGUCCUUUGCAUGCUGUAAAAAAACAUACCUAUUCAUCGUCGGCCAAUGGUGCAGCACGAGCGCAACGUGAUACAUCGUGACAUCAUCCGGAAAACUUGCAGCUGGGGCACGGUGGUGAUCUGAAGAUAGCUGAUUUCGGUUGGUCCGUGUACGAGCCGACCUUGUUCCGGUACGACGCUGUGCGUUUCGCUCGACUAUUUAUCGCCCUAGAUGGUACAUGGUCAGCCGCACACAAAAACUGUCGAUCUCUGGAAUUUGGGCGUGCUGGCGUAAGGCCCCGUUUUUGGCGACCACGUAUGAAGAA